rnacentral:rRNA from 1 species
UACGUAGGGCGCAAGCGUUGUCCGGAAUUAUUGGGCGUAAAGAGCUCGUAGGCGGUUCAGUAAGUCGGGUGUGAAAACUUUGGGCUUAACCCAAAGCGUGCAUCCGAUACUGCUGUGACUUGAGUUCGGUAGGGGAGUGGGGAAUUCCUAGUGUAGCGGUGAAAUGCGCAGAUAUUAGGAGGAACACCGGUGGCGAAGGCGCCACUCUGGGCCGAAACUGACGCUGAGGAGCGAAAGCAUGGGUAGCAAACAGG